UUUUUUUUUUUUUUUUUUUUUUUGCCUUGUAGUUGGAAAACUGGAUGCAGGACUGACUUUUCUUUUAGCUGUUGCCUGUGACAAAUUUCUUGACCAUAGCUUGAGUCUACAUUGGAAAACACUGUCUUGUCUUUUGGUAGUGGUUGGAGAAGCAAUUUAACAUAGUUUUUAUAAAAACUGAUAAUGCUGCUUAUUCAUUCUGAACUUUGGCAAAAUAUCUUCACUGCUAAGCAAAGCAGGUGCAUCUGAGGUGUCGUUGACAUUUCUGCAAAAUGUCACCACCAAGUUAAUAGCUGACGUGUAUGAAUCACUUCCAGGAACCAGAUUUUAAGCGCAAGAGAGUGUUAUGAAUGUAACUAUCUAUUAUGAUGUUUUCUAAGCUCAACAAAGCAAAUUGUAUGAGUUGGAAUUACUUUGUUUAACUUAUUACCCAGGUGAUUAUUAAGAGAAGGCAGUGGUGUUAAUAAUAACAUUUUGGGAUGUGGAUUAGAAUGAAAAUUGCAUCACUGAGGAACUAAAGUUUAACCGUGAGUAUUUUAAUCCUUGCAGUCUUCUUAGGAAAUAACAGUGUUUUCUGUUAGAUUUAUUUCUUUUGCCUGGUUUUCUGCCACAAACGAAGAGAUGAUUCUUUGCUGGUCUAAUGAGAUUAAAUAUUGAAAAAAAAAAAAACAACAGAAAGAGAAUAAAAUUAAAAUGUGCAUUGACAAAAUCUAGGCCAGUGAUCUUUAAUUGCUGACAAAGCAAAAACAUAACUUUAGGCAAGUAGUUCUUGUCCUAAGCAUUUGUGAGACUCUCGUUUUAUAGGAAUCUUUAGUGCAGGAUGGGGCUCAGCACUACCUUAGCCUCAGGCAGGGGGCUCUGCAUUGCUGCCGGGCUGAGCAGGAAAGGAUGCUGCAGCCCAGGCCCUCUUUGCAGCUCUUGGCUUCUGCCCAGCAUGUUGGAGGAUUGUGGUGUCAGGAGGCUCCAAGUCCAAUCUUAAAUCUUCCUGAACAGCUGUGGGGUCUUGACUAAGUCUCUGUCUUCCUUUAGGCAUCUCUAAUCUGUUAAAAGAGGGAGGGGCAGAAGAAAAUGAUCCCACAGGCCCUUUCUCGUCCUGACAGUCUAUGAAUCUGUAUAGAACAGUCUGGGCUCCACUGAAUAACCUAAUCACUGUUUAAUGCUGAAUUGUCCUGUGGGGUCAUGUUACAGUUAAAUGACUCCAAAUUGCCAUGGUCACACCCAGAGUGCAGAAUGGAUUCUCUUUAUUGUAUCAUAAAGAUAGGAGAGCCAGAGGCUGCCCGCGCCUUCCCCCAUCUGCUCCAGCAGCUCAGGAGCCACUCUGUUCACAGCGCAGCUCCCACUCAGGCUUGUGUUUCUGUACUUCAAGCAGCUGUGUGCAGGAGCAUUUUGAUAACAAGGUCACUUCUUGUGAAUCGCUUAUCAAGGAGUUUUUGUUGUUGUACCUGCAUUAUGGCCUGAUUUGAGGCAUCUAGGUUAGUUAUCUUAACAGUGUGUUAAAUAUGAAAAUAAAAAAUAAACAUGUAAAGACUUUAAUUUACUGUAUCAUAGUAGGCCGUCAGACUUGGUUGUCAAAAUACCCAGGUCUUAAAAUGGUAUAAUUUCCAUAGGUAAUGUUGCCACUUAAAAUAAGUUUUACAGCCUUUAGAAUGUUAUAUAUAAUGCAAAACAUGCAAGUUCCUGAUUUAGAUCUCAUAAUUUUCAAACUGGUCCCUUUCAUAACACGUCAUGCCAUAACCCUUGAAUGUGAAGAGUUUGUGGAUUUGCACUGUCUGAAACUCUGCUUUUUCUUGGAAAACCAGUCAAUCCCAGGAAAAGUUUCUCCUGGAAAUGCAGUUUCCCUGUAGGGCUGACAAGGCGUUCAUCCCAACCAUUGUCCAUUGGUAAGUAAAUUUGCCAUCACUAGAGCCACAGGCUUUAAAUAGUUUGCAAUAGAUUCAAGUUUAACAGCCAUUAGAUUGAUCAAUGGCCUGAAAUUUGAGAAAAACACAAAAAGCUCCAGCUGAUGUAUCAGUUCAUUGCCAUUCCUGAGCCCAUUGAGUGUAAAUCUGUCCAUAAGACUGAGUCUUUUCAAAUGCAGUUGUUGGAGUUCCGUGGUGGCUCAGCAGGUUAAGGAUCUAGCAUUGUCACUGCUGUGGCUCUGCUUACUACUGCGGUGUGGGUUCCAUCCCUGAUCCGGGAAUUUCUGCAUGCCUUAGAUGCAGCCAAAAAAAUGCAGUUGUUAAGCAUAUGGUAGUUUUUGCUCAUGUAAUUUAAUUUGCCUGUUUUAUUUGCUUAUUUUAGAUGUUUGGGAUACUGUUUUCUUGAUUUCCUUAAAGUGGAAUGUCCCUGCAUUUUUGGGAGUGGAAAAAGAACUGAUGAGGAUGACAGCAAAUCCAUUGCCCAUAUGAGUGGGACCAGUUCCACAAGGUCAACCCAGAUGCAGAACGGUUGCAGUGGUUAGAUCCAAAACAUCCCCGGCGUGGCCUUCAUUGUACGUGACUUGUUAGCUUCUUACCUAGAGUGGGGCAUCCUACAGAUGCUGUCGUGUGGAGAGUUACAGCAUGUAGAAUCUAAAUCUUACCCUGGGGUCCUUUUAGAAGGUCAGCUCUUUUUUGCUGUGUUUCAAUGAAAACGUUGUGCCCUCUGGUUAAAUACACCUGUUUUGUCCUGACAAAAGUCUUAGCGGAUAAAUGUUUUUAAAUUGGUUAAAAAAAUAAAAUCACAUGCUCAGAUCAAAGCUAUACAAGACAUUCACUGACAUUAUUAGAUUCAUACGGUUGCCAACUUUGUAGCUAAACUAUAACAUCUACUUCCAAUAUUCAAUACUAGAAAACUAGUCAAAGGGGGUGACCAUCCUUGCUUUGCUGUCAAUUAGCCUUGUGGUCUUGGACAUAUCACCAGCCAGGUUUGAUCCAUUUCCUCGUCUGUAAAACAAGCAGUUUGGCCUUUUGGGCCUGGGGCACUCUCAGCUCUGUAGGUCAUUAAGCAGUGGGAAGAACAGCUUGGUGACCCACGUUAAUGAGGACCCUCGUCACCCGUACUUUUUAAAUAUUGGAGUAUUGGAAGUUUUUGUUAGGGCUCAGUGGUAACAAACCCAACUAGUGUCCACGAGGCUGCGGGGUCGAUCCGUGGCCUCACUCAGUAGGUGAAGGGUCCAGCAUUGCCGUGAGCCAUGGUGUAGGUCGCAGAUGUGGCUCAGAUCUGGCAUUUCUGUGGUUCGGGUGUAGGCUGGCAGCUGCAGCUCUGAUUCAACCCCUAGCCUGGAAACUUCCGUAUGCCAUACCUACGGCUUUAAAAAGGAAAACAAAUAUUGGAACAUUGAUUUUUCUCACUUCAGAAUUUAAGUGAAAAAAAAAAAGGUAAUGUUUUAAGCUCCAGUGGAGACAGAAAAAUCUGUUUUUUAAUGUAUUAAGAAAGAAAACAUUUUUUGCAAUAAAAACAGUUUGUCUAUAAAAGAGGAUAUUUUGUAAUCUCAGGAUACUUACAAAGCCUACUUUUGAAUUCAGUGUUAAAAGUUCUAAUGAAAAUAUAUAAAAGUAUGCUACUAAAAGCGUAGUCAUAUGCUACUGAAAAUGCAAUGCCCAGGAAAUGGGCAAUGUUACACUUCACCUAAAAAAAAAUACAAAAAUACGCAAGUUGACUACCAGGGGCUGGUGAAAGGGAGAAACUGAGAGUGAUGAUUAGUGAGUAUAUGCUUUCUUUGGGGGAUGAUGAGAAUGUUCUGGAAUUGUACUGUGGGAAUGUUGCACAACUUUGUGAAUAAACUAAAACCCACCAACUUG
rnacentral:lncRNA from 1 species